AAAACAACUCACAAUUUGCAUUUGAUUACUUUGCCUCACAUGUGAAUAAAAUGCAACUUUAUUAUUAGUUUUUGAACAAUCAAGAGGGCCUUUGCCAGCUGGUGUGCAUUAAUAGUUAUUUGUUUUACAAGGGGGCAAAGUUGUUGUUUAACCGCUCGUGCUAAUAUUGAUACCCGAGCAAGCGAAAGAUUCCAAAAUUGAACCACGAGCAUAGCGAGUGGUUUGAAAAGUGGAAUCUUGAGCGUUGCGCGGAUU